AAUUUAUUUAACUCGUUUAAAAGUUAUUUAUUUAAAACUGCAGCAAAAUAUAGUAAUUUUCACUGUAAAAAUAAUUAUAAAUUAAAUUUUUCAUUGUUUUCUUCCUUGCAGCUAGCUUCAGGGCCAAAAUUCGGACAUUCGCGACCAAAAUUUUUUAUUGUCGAUUAGAAAAAAGAAAUAAACCUAGAGAAAUCUUUAGUUAAUAAAUUUCGCUAACUUUGAACUAAAGCAUUCUUAAGAAGUGGAAAGAGUAUAUUUGUGAUAUACAUUUACUUCAUAAUGAGUCAAGUAUUUCAUAUAAAAAUUUGGUUGGCAUGAGACACGCGAUACUUGUUUUUGUGUGAUGUAUAUGCACAAUGGCUGUUGCAUACUGUUAUUUCUCAAUACGCAUAGUUGUACGCAUAGUUAUUUUAUAGUACGCAAUAUUUUUCAAAAGCGAAACUGGAUUGAUAUAUGGCCUUGGUAUUUGUUUAGAUAGUGACAGGUUCUGGCGUAUACAAGUUUGCCGUGGUCGGCUAUUGUUAUGCGCGCGAUGAGCCUCGAGCAGGUAACGGAGCGAGACGCUUCAUGCGUUAUUUCCUCUCGACAUGCGAUCGCGACAAGUAUUGAAUGCCAACGCAAAUAUUCGCUAAUAAUUCGCGAAUAAUUAAUGAUUGUUAGUUCAUAUUAUUAAUGAAUACCUACAAUGAAUGACUCAUAAACGUAUCAAAUUGAUGUAACUUGUCGAAAUUGAUAUUUCGCGCGAUUUGUUUAAUUAAAGUAGGAAUUGAAACUACGCGAAAUGGAGAUCGCGGGUUAUAUUUACGAUAUUACGGUAAUUAUCAUUUCUUUAAUAUUCGGAGUAGAUUGCAAUAUUGAAUUUUGACGAUAGAUUUGCAAAUGGCUCAACGUGAAAUUCUAAUUAGUAAUUAGCUUAAUUUAUUGACUAAACGGAAUGAAUCCGAGUCAAGCGGUUUUGCGAUGCGUAAAUAUAUAAAUCGUAAUUAACUCUAUUUUAAUAUUUGCAGAGUAGUAGAAAUUCGUUUGUAUUUACGGUGAUUCAUUAAAACUUUCCGAGAUUCAUUUAUCCGCUAAUUUCCGAGACAUUUCGCGAGAUAUUUCGAGUAAAUCAUAACUUUGUGCGGUUUUAUUUUUCUCGAGUUUUUCUUACAUGUUACAGCAUGAAGUACGCAUUGCGAGUGUCAACGUAAACUGUAAAGUAUUCGCGCGCUCGUUGUUUAUAAUUACUACGCGCGCGUUCAUAAAUGUUGAGUGCAACGAAAAAAUCUAAGAUGGAAGAGAGAAAGGAGAAGACAUUGACGAUGGAGUAACUGUAAGUAAAUGAAACUUGUAAUUUAUUUGUUAUUCGUCAGUCGCACGGAAUUAAUCUUUGCGAUUGUCACAUAGCGUUUAAGAUGAAAAAUUUUUUGAAUUCUUUGUAUAAGAAUUAUAGAUUUCUAUAUAAAAUUUGCUAAAAUUUUGUAUUUUUAAGAAAAAGGAGGAGUAUUGAAAAUUAUAUCAUUAUAUUUAAUUAAUUAUUUAAAACAGACGAAUAAAACAUGUGAUGCACACGAAAUAGAAUAAUUUAUUAUGAUAAUAAAUUAUUAAUUUCUGGAUAUAUUACAUGUAUAUACAUAGAGAAGCAGAUGGUAAUUAUAUCUCUUGGUAUUAUGGCCAUGGUAAUUUCUUCAUUAUUAGGUGACUAAUUUUAGUAAUUACUUACAGAACCAUUUGUUUAGGAGCUCACCAUUAUGAAAUGACAUUAAUGUGCCAAUGCAUAGGCGGCGUUUGUUAAUACCUUUAUUUUUGAGCAUUUCAAAACUUUUUCAAGAGCUACAUUAUCAUUCCUGUUGCUUUUCAAGCUAUUGUGCAGCAUCAUCGCAUUUUUAUAAAUAACAUUCUAAAUAAUAAAUAUUUCAUAACUUUGAAUCUAGAUAGAUAAAUGAAUCGUUAAGCUUUCAGUGUAAAAUAUUGUUUAUUAAUAAAGUUAUUGUACAAAAUGUAAA